UUUUAUAACUCUCAGCGCUCGGGUAAGCAUUGAGGAACCACUUUGCAGUUCUCUGUGUCUCUGAUGAACAGCCCUCCUCAGAGGCAGUGAAAAGGGCAGCAGCGUCGCUCCAGAGCACCAGACAGCGUUUGUCCAGCGAGGAAAACGAUCAUCCUGACCACAAUGCAAACCUCUGGCCCUCAGAUCGACCCGCGCUAGAGGAAAACCAGCUGAACGAGAUCAUGAAGGAACCGGAAUGCAAACCAAAUGAGCUUAAAUACAGAGAAAUAGCAGAUGGACAAAACCUGGAGCAGACGGGAUCUGAGACCAGGACCGCAUGCUGGAGACGAGACACACAGGAAGUGACAUCAGAGGAUGACAACAAAGAGCUGAAUGAGCAGAUGGAGCUGCAGUGCGGCGCGCCUCCCAGGACGGUGGUGGGUGG